CAUGCAAGUCGAGCGGUAACAGAAAGUAGCUUGCUACUUUGCUGACGAGCGGCGGACGGGUGAGUAAUGCUUGGGAACAUGCCUUGAGGUGGGGGACAACAGUUGGAAACGACUGCUAAUACCGCAUAAUGUCUACGGACCAAAGGGGGCUUCGGCUCUCGCCUUUAGAUUGGCCCAAGUGGGAUUAGCUAGUUGGUGAGGUAAUGGCUCACCAAGGCAACGAUCCCUAGCUGGUUUGAGAGGAUGAUCAGCCACACUGGGACUGAGACACGGCCCAGACUCCUACGGGAGGCAGCAGUGGGGAAUAUUGCACAAUGGGCGCAAGCCUGAUGCAGCCAUGCCGCGUGUGUGAAGAAGGCCUUCGGGUUGUAAAGCACUUUCAGUCAGGAGGAAAGGUUAGUAGUUAAUACCUGCUAGCUGUGACGUUACUGACAGAAGAAGCACCGGCUAACUCCGUGCCAGCAGCCGCGGUAAUACGGAGGGUGCGAGCGUUAAUCGGAAUUACUGGGCGUAAAGCGUACGCAGGCGGUUUGUUAAGCGAGAUGUGAAAGCCCCGGGCUCAACCUGGGAACUGCAUUUCGAACUGGCAAACUAGAGUGUGAUAGAGGGUGGUAGAAUUUCAGGUGUAGCGGUGAAAUGCGUAGAGAUCUGAAGGAAUACCGAUGGCGAAGGCAGCCACCUGGGUCGACACUGACG
rnacentral:rRNA from 1 species